UAGGGAAUCUUCGGCAAUGGGGGCAACCCUGACCGAGCAACGCCGCGUGAGUGAAGAAGGUUUUCGGAUCGUAAAGCUCUGUUGUAAGAGAAGAACGUGUGUGAGAGUGGAAAGUUCACACAGUGACGGUAACUUACCUGAAAGGGACGGCUAACUACGUGCCAGCAGCCGCGGUAAUACGUAGGUCCCGAGCGUUGUCCGGAUUUAUUGGGCGUAAAGUGAGCGCAGGCGGUUUAAUAAGUCUGAAGUUAAAGGCAGUGGCUUAACCAUUGUUCGCUUUGGAAACUGUUAAACUUGAGUGCAGAAGGGGAGAGUGGAAUUCCAUGUGUAGCGGUGAAAUGCGUAGAUAUAUGGAGGAACACCGGUGGCGAAAGCGGCUCUCUGGUCUGUAACUGACGCUGAGGCUCGAAAGCGUGGGGAGCAAACAGG
rnacentral:rRNA from 1 species